rnacentral:piRNA from 1 species
UGGUGGAGACUUCUAAAGAAAGAGUCAUUG